GACGAACGCUGGCGGCGUGCUUAACACAUGCAAGUCGAGCGGUAAGGCCCUUCGGGGUACACGAGCGGCGAACGGGUGAGUAACACGUGGGUAACCUGCCCUGUACUUUGGGAUAAGCCCGGGAAGCUGGGUCUAAUACCGGAUACGACUUCGUCACGCAUGUGGCGGAGUGGAAAGUUCUGGCGGUACAGGAUGGGCCCGCGGCCUAUCAGCUUGUUGGUGGGGUGAUGGCCUACCAAGGCGACGACGGGUAGCCGGCCUGAGAGGGCGACCGGCCACACUGGGACUGAGACACGGCCCAGACUCCUACGGGAGGCAGCAGUGGGGAAUCUUGCACAAUGGGCGAAAGCCUGAUGCAGCGACGCCGCGUGAGGGAUGACGGCCUUCGGGUUGUAAACCUCUUUCGCCCGGGACGAAGCGAAAGUGACGGUACCGGGAGAAGAAGCACCGGCUAACUACGUGCCAGCCGCCGCCGUAAAAC
rnacentral:rRNA from 1 species